CAUGCAUAGAUGCCUGACCAGUAGAAUGAAGAGGGACUGAAAUGCAGGAACUGUUUUGAUGAGGACAUUGAGAUCCAGAAUGAAUUGAUUAGCUUGUCUAAAUGGAAGUUGCUUGCAAACGUCAGCAGAGAAGCUAAGGUAUAGACUCAGAGUAACCUCUCGCUCCGACCCCCAGUGACAAGACGGAUAGUUCCAUUCAUCUAUGGGUGA